CAAAUUAUUAGAAAAAAUUUUUUAUUUACAAUAAAUAAAUUAGUUGUUUAAUUCAACUUAAUUUGA
rnacentral:tRNA from 1 species